AAAAAAAAUAAAAAGUCUUUCCCUGAAAAAAGCAACUGUAUCCAAUCCGAACAUAAUUGUUUUGUGUUUUAUCGCUCAAAUCAAACCCAACCGAGAAAAACGAAAUCCCAGCUACUUGUUUCUCGAAUUCAACCUUCUUCAAUGCAACAAAACCAUCAUCAUUAAUUCGUUCUUCAAAUACCCUUUUUCCUCACCUCUUUGGCAUCCUUGAUUCAUUCAUUCAUGGCACAAACCGCCACCCCCACCGCCCCCCUCGCCAUCUCCAAGCCCAUCUCCACCUCUAACAAGGAACAAAGUCCGCUCUUAGGACGCUACGAGGUGGGAAAACUUCUCGGUCAUGGAACCUUCGCCAAAGUCUACCAUGCUCGCAACAUCAAGUCCGGCGAAAGUGUGGCCAUCAAAGUUAUUGAUAAAGAAAAGAUUUUGAAAGGUGGACUCAUCGAUCACAUCAAGCGUGAAAUCGCUAUUCUUCGGAGGGUUCGUCACCCGAACAUUGUGCAAUUGUUUGAAGUGAUGGCAACUAAGUCCAAGAUCUAUUUUGUUAUGGAGUAUGUUCGGGGUGGUGAACUCUUUAACAAGGUUGCUAAAGGGAGAUUAAAGGAAGAUGUUGCGAGGAAAUAUUUUCAGCAGCUAAUUUCAGCUGUCGGUUUUUGCCAUGCGCGUGGCGUUUUCCAUCGUGAUUUGAAACCUGAAAAUUUGCUACUUGACGAGAAUGGUGAUCUUAAAGUUUCUGACUUUGGACUUAGUGCUGUGUCCGAUCAAAUUCGUCAAGAUGGUUUGUUUCACACUUUUUGUGGGACGCCGGCUUAUGUGGCUCCGGAGGUUUUAGCGAGAAAAGGUUAUCUUGCAGCUAAGGUAGAUAUUUGGUCUUGUGGGGUGAUUUUGUUUGUGUUAAUGGCUGGCUAUUUACCUUUUCAUGAUCAAAACAUUAUGGCUAUGUAUAAGAAGAUUUAUAAGGGUGAAUUUAGAUGUCCAAGAUGGUUUUCUCCUGAGUUAAUUAGGCUUUUAUCAAGGUUACUGGAUACUAAUCCUGAGACAAGAAUCACUAUUCAGGGAAUCAUGGAAUUCAGGUGGUUUAAAAGGGGGUUUAAGCAUAUAAAGUUUUAUAUAGAGGAUGAUAAAGUCUGCAAUGUUGAGGAGGAUGACGAGACGGAUGUGGAAUCAUCAUCUGACACAUCAUUGUGUGAAUCAGACUCUGAAAUUGUAACAAGAAGGAAACCAACUUCGUUACCUAGACCGGCAAGUUUGAAUGCAUUUGAUAUUAUAUCCUUUUCUCCUGGAUUUGAUUUAUCUGGGUUGUUUGAAGAGGGCGGAGAGGGUACAAGAUUUGUGUCAGGAGCUCCGGUUUCAAAGAUUAUAUCCAAAUUGGAGGAGAUUGCAAAGUUGGAGAGUUUUACAGUAAGGAAGAAGGAUUGCAGAGUGAGUUUGGAGGGGUCGAGAGAAGGCGUGAAGGGGCCUUUGACAAUUGCAGCUGAAAUAUUUGAAUUAACCCCUAAAUUGGUGGUAGUGGAGGUAAAGAAAAAAGGAGGUGACAAAGCAGAAUAUGAAGAAUUCUGUAAUAAUGAAUUGAAACCUGGGUUGCAAAAUUUGACGAGCGAUGAAUCAGAAUCUGCUGUUGUUUCUGCUGUUGAUGCUUCUCAUUUGCCUUCAGAUACGGAAUAGAGAGAGGUAGAAGGGAAAAGAAUUCAGAAGUGGGCUUCAACCUUCAAUAAGGGUAUAUCGAUCUGGCUUUUCUUUCUCUAGAAGGAUACUGUGCUCCCCCACCCUUCUAAGGUUGUGAGAAUACUGUCUCUCCUUUUGAAUCUAGAUUGCCCAGGUCAGGAACAUGUUCAUCCCGACAUUCUUCUUCUGCAGAUUUGGAACACAUUCUGCAAACUUUGGGGGCGUUUGAAGGCUGGAGAGAAUGGUAUCCUUAUUUGCUUUUUUAUAGGUUAUAGUGAUCUUGUGUAGGAGAAACAUUCUCUUGUUUAUGUGUAUAGCAAGUUCAUAUAUGUAAGGGAGAUAUUUGAUGGACAGUUGAAUUUGAGAAAUAAAGGAAGAUGUAAAGCACAAAUUCUUAAUCUUCACAAUGCAUGCAAUUUGGUUGA